rnacentral:tRNA from 1 species
GGAAGGGUGGCUGAGUGGUUGAAGGCACCUGACUCGAAAUCAGGCCUAGGGGUAACCCUAGCGUGGGUUCGAAUCCCACCCCUUCCGCCA